rnacentral:rRNA from 1 species
UACGUAGGGUGCGAGCGUUAAUCGGAAUUACUGGGCGUAAAGCGUGCGCAGGCGGUUUUGUAAGCCAGAUGUGAAAUCCCCGGGCUUAACCUGGGAAUGGCAUUUGGGACUGCAAGGCUCGAGUGCGGCAGAGGAGACUGGAAUUCCUGGUGUAGCAGUGAAAUGCGUAGAUAUCAGGAGGAACACCGAUGGCGAAGGCAGAUCUCUGGGCCGUAACUGACGCUGAGGAGCGAAAGCGUGGGGAGCGAACAGG